rnacentral:rRNA from 1 species
GACGAACGCUGGCGGCGUGCUUAACACAUGCAAGUCGAACGGAAAGGCCCUGCUUUUGUGGGGUGCUCGAGUGGCGAACGGGUGAGUAACACGUGAGUAACCUGCCCUUGACUUUGGGAUAACUUCAGGAAACUGGGGCUAAUACCGGAUAGGAGCUCCUGCUGCAUGGUGGGGGUUGGAAAGUUUCGGCGGUUGGGGAUGGACUCGCGGCUUAUCAGCGUGUUGGUGGGGUAGUGGCUUACCAAGGCUUUGACGGGUAGCCGGCCUGAGAGGGUGACCGGCCACAUUGGGACUGAGAUGCGGCACAGACUCCUACGGGGGGCAGCAGUGGAGAAUAUUGCACAGUGGGCGGAAGCCUGAUGCAGCAACGCCGCGUGCGGGAUGACGGCCUUCGGGUUGUACACCGCUUUCGCCUGUGACGAAGCGUGAGUGACGGUAAUGGGUAAAGAAGCACCGGCUAACUACGUG